rnacentral:rRNA from 1 species
GCUGGCGGCGUGCCUAACACAUGCAAGUCGAACGGGGAACCUUUAGAAGAUUUCUUCGGAAUGAAACUAAAGGAAUCCUAGUGGCGGAUGGGUGAGUAACGCGUGAGCAACCUACCCCCUAGUCUGGGACAACAUCGGGAAACCGUUGCUAAUCCGGGAUGAGCUUAAAAGUAUGCAUAUACCUUUAAGCAAAGGUGGCCUCUAUUUAUAAGCUACCGCUAGGGGAUGGGCUCGCGUCCCAUUAGCUAGUUGGUGAGAUAACAGCUCACCAAGGCAACGAUGGGUAGCCGGCCUGAGAGGGUGACCGGCCACACUGGGACUGAGACACGGCCCAGACUCCUACGGGAGGCAGCAGUGGGGAAUUUUGCGCAAUGGGGGGAACCCUGACGCAGCGACGCCGCGUGAGCGAAGAAGGCCUUCGGGUCGUAAAGCUCUGUCAUCGGGGAAGAAGACUAUUUACUAAAAAGGUAAAGAGGUGACGGUACCCGAGGAGGAAGCCACGGCUAACUACGUGCCAGCAGCCGCGGUAAUACGUAGGUGGCGAGCGUUGUCCGGAAUAACUGGGCGUAAAGGGCGUGUAGGCGGUUAAACAAGUCAGAAGUGAAAAACUCGGGCUCAACCUGAGUCUUGCUUCUGAAACUGUAUGAUUUGAGGGCAGGAGAGGUAAGUGGAAUUCUUGUGUAAGCGUGAAAUGGGGUAGAUAUUGGGAGAAACACCAGUGGUGAAGGCGACUUACUGGCCUGACCCUGACGCUGAGGCGCGAAAGCGUGGGUAGCAAACAGGAUUAGAUACCCUGGUAGUCCACGCCGUAAACGCUGGGUACUAGGUGUUGGGAGUGAGAGCUCUCAGUGCUGAAGCAAACGCAUUAAGUACCCCGCCUGGGGAGUACGGCCGCAAGGCUGAAACUCAAAAGAAUUGACGGGGGCCCGCACAAGCGGUGGAGCAUGUGGUUUAAUUCGACGCAACGCGAAGAACCUUACCAAGGCUUGACAUCCUCUGCUAGCUCUAGAGAUAGAGAAUUCCUUUUUUGGACAGAGAGACAGGUGGUGCAUGGUUGUCGUCAGCUCGUGUCGUGAGAUGUUGGGUUAAGUCCCGCAACGAGCGCAACCCUCAUCGUAUGUUGCCAGCAUUAAGUUGGGGACUCAUACGAGACUGCCGGUGAAAAACCGGAGGAAGGUGGGGAUGACGUCAAAUCAUCAUGCCCCUUAUGUCUUGGGCUACACACGUGCUACAAUGGCCAGUACAAGGGCAGCGAAGCCGCGAGGCGGAGCAAAUCUCAAGAAAGCUGGUCUAAGUUCGGAUUGCAGGCUGCAACUCGCCUGCAUGAAGCCGGAAUCGCUAGUAAUCGCAGGUCAGCAUACUGCGGUGAAUACGUUCCCGGGCCUUGUACACACCGCCCGUCACACCACGAAAGCCGGAAACACCCGAAGCCG